GNGCCAGCAGCCGCGGCGGCUGCCACGGAGGGCGCAAGCGUUGUUCGGAAUCACUGGGCGUAAAGCGCGUGUAGGCGGCCGGGCAAGUCGGAUGUGAAAUCCCGAGGGCUCAACCUCGGAACUGCACUCGAAACCUGCUCGGCUGGAGUCUCGGAGAGGGUGGCGGAAUUCCCGGUGUAGGGGUGAAAUCCGUAGAUAUCGGGAGGAACACCAGUGGCGAAGGCGGCCACCUGGACGAUGACUGACGCUGAGACGCGAAAGCGUGGGGAGCAAACAGGAUUAGAUACCCUGGUAGUCCACGCCGUAAACGGUGAGUGCUAGACGUCGCGGGUAUUGACCCCCGCGGUGUCGCAGCUAACGCGUUAAGCACUCCGCCUGGGGAGUACGGCCGCAAGGCUAAAACUCAAAUGAAUUGGCGG
rnacentral:rRNA from 1 species